GAGGGUAUAGCUCAGUGUUAAGGCACAUACUUAACAUGCACAAGGUCCUGGGUUCAAUCCCCAGUACCUCCU
rnacentral:tRNA from 1 species